rnacentral:rRNA from 1 species
GACGAACGCUGGCGGCGUGCUUAACACAUGCAAGUCGAACGGUAAGGCCCUUCGGGGUACACGAGUGGCGAACGGGCGAGUAACACGUGGGUGAUCUGCCCUGCACUUCGGGAUAAGCCUGGGAAACUGGGUCUAAUACCGGAUAGGACCACUGCCUGCAUGGGUGGUGGUGGAAAGCUUUUGCGGUGUGGGAUGGGCCCGCGGCCUAUCAGCUUGUUGGUGGGGUGAUGGCCUACCAAGGCGACGACGGGUAGCCGGCCUGAGAGGGUGACCGGCCACACUGGGACUGAGAUACGGCCCAGACUCCUACGGGAGGCAGCAGUGGGGAAUAUCGCACAAUGGGCGCAAGCCUGAUGCAGCGACGCCGCGUGAGGGAUGACGGCCUUCGGGUUGUAAACCUCUUUCAGCACCGACGAAGCGCAAGUGACGGUAGGUGCAGAAGAAGGACCGGCCAACUACGUGCCAGCCGCCGCGGUAACAC